GAAAUGCGAUAAGUAGUGUGAAUUGCAGAAUACAGUGAAUCAUCGAAUCUUUGAACGCACAUUGCGCCCCUCGGUAUUCCGUGGGGCAUGCCUGUUCGAGCGUCAUCUACACCCUCAAGCUCUGCUUGGUGUUGGGCGUCUGUCCCGCCUCCGCGCGCGGACUCGCCCCAAAUGCAUUGGCAGCGGUUCCUUGCCCCCCUCUUUGCGCAGCACAUUGCCAUUCGAGGCGGCGGCGGCCCGCGUCCAACAAGCUCAACCCCCCCGUCUUUGACCUCGGAUCAGGUAGGGAUACCCGCUGAACUUAAGC
rnacentral:misc_RNA from 1 species